GAGUUUGAUCUUGGCUCAGGAUGAACGCCGGCGGUGUGCCUAAUACAUGCAAGUCGUACGCACUGGCCCAACUGGUUGAUGGUGCUUGCACCUGAUCGACGAUGGAUCACCAGUGAGUGGGCGGACGGGUGAGUAACACGUAGGUAACCUGCCCUGUACAGGGGAUAACAAUCAGAAAUGACUGCUAAUACCGCAUAAGACCACAGCACCGCAUGGUGCAGGGGUAAAAACUCCGGUGGUACAGGAUGGACCCGCGUCUGAUUAGCUGGUUGGUGAGGUAACGGCUCACCAAGGCGACGAUCAGUAGCCGGCUUGAGAGAGUGAACGGCCACAUUGGGACUGAGACACGGCCCAAACUCCUACGGGAGGCAGCAGUGGGGAAUAUUGCACAAUGGGGAAAACCCUGAUGCAGCAAACGCCGCGUGAGUGAAGAAGUAUUUCGGUAUGUAAAGCUCUAUCAGCAGGGAAGAAAAGUGAGGUACCUGACUAAGAAG
rnacentral:rRNA from 1 species